rnacentral:pre_miRNA from 1 species
GGCUCUGGCUCCGUGUCUUCACUCCCGUGUAUGUCCGAGAAGGGAGGGAGGGACGGGGGCUGUGCU